UGGAUCCAGACUUUGAUCAUGGCUCAGGAUGAACGCUAGCUACAGGCUUAACACAUGCAAGUCGAGGGGAAACGACAUUGAAAGCUUGCUUUUGAUGGGCGUCGACCGGCGCACGGGUGAGUAACGCGUAUCCAACCUGCCCAUCACUUGGGGAUAACCUUGCGAAAGUAAGACUAAUACCCAAUGAUAUCUCUAGAAGACAUCUGAAAGAGAUUAAAGAUUUAUCGGUGAUGGAUGGGGAUGCGUCUGAUUAGCUUGUUGGCGGGGUAACGGCCCACCAAGGCGACGAUCAGUAGGGGUUCUGAGAGGAAGGUCCCCCACAUUGGAACUGAGACACGGUCCAAACUCCUACGGGAGGCAGCAGUGAGGAAUAUUGGUCAAUGGACGAGAGUCUGAACCAGCCAAGUAGCGUGCAGGAUGACGGCCCUAUGGGUUGUAAACUGCUUUUAUAAGGGAAUAAAGUGAGUCUCGUGAGACUUUUUGCAUGUACCUUAUGAAUAAGGACCGGCUAAUUCCGUGCCAGCAGCCGCGGUAAUACGGAAGGUCCGGGCGUUAUCCGGAUUUAUUGGGUUUAAAGGGAGCGUAGGCCGGAGAUUAAGCGUGUUGUGAAAUGUAGACGCUCAACGUCU
rnacentral:rRNA from 1 species